rnacentral:lncRNA from 1 species
UGCCAUAAGAAACUCACCUUACCUUCAGACACAGAAACCAUUUUUUUUUUGUCUUUUAGAAACAAUUUUAUAUAAAUACGUCCCCUAACAAAGAAUACAUGUUUGGAGUGUCCAGUUUUGAGUAUGGAAGAUCUGCCUUCUUCGUGGGAAGCAGAUUCCAGCUUGCUUGACCAGCACGCCUAUGCAGUCAGCUUUUCUAGCAGAGUUUCCACUCCUUUGCUGGUGCUUUUUUUUUUUUUUUUUUUUCCAACGUUGGAAACAGGCUUUUCAGUCCAGCUUUGACUUUGUUUACAACUUUCUGGUCACAGCUCUGAAGAAGGCUGGAAAGAAUAAUGGCACCUUGAUUGAUGCUAGCCCAGGACUUGAGGUUCUUCAUGCCAACAUGCUCUAUAAGGGUUUUUGCUAAACAACCUUCUCUUGUAUCAUCUUUCAUCUUUUUAUCUUGCUCUAUUAACCAUUUGAGAAGGAGAUGUGCUGCAGGAUGCUCGCCACAUGAAGCUCUCCAUCCUUGCCACCAGGAUGUAGUUCUACUGCUGCCAAACUGGCGAUGACAUCCGUGGCAGGCUGAACAUCUCCAGUAGCAGAUCCCAGGAUGUCAGACACCAACACACAUGCAGACUUGUCUAGCAGCACCUCUUGAGCAAAAAAGGUGGAGAGAUGGAUUCCAAGAGCUUAUGCUGGCGGAUGACAGUAUCUUUCUUACUGUGUGCCUUGCCAUCACCCUUCUGCAGAAGCUUGAUAACUUCUUGGAUUGUGUGGGCAGGAUCUCUGAUUGCUGAUAUGAUAUCUGCUUCACAAGCUUAGUGUCAUAAAUACAAUCAAAUGCUGCCAGUAAAACCAAAUGAGAGCAUUGGCCAUUGGCCACCUUUUCAAUGUGUGUCUUCAUUGUUUCCAUGAUCACUUUCCUGUCCUUGGGUGUACCAUGCCACAAGCAGUGUAUGGACAUUCUGGAACCAUCGUGUGUGUGUGUAUCAGGUAUACCACUGCUUCCUGCAUGGCUUCAAUUAAUUGUGAUAGAAGUUUUGGGGGAGUGUAGGUAAAAAAAGUCCAAGAACACUUUAUGAACCAGGGAGUGCUUAAUCACAGCUUCCUUCUGGGCCAUUGGAGUCAGAAUCUGCUUCAUUUCAUCCAUAAUAAGCUCUAGCUUUCUGGCUGCACCUCCAGCACCUUGUCCAGAGUUGGGUGAUCUGCUGACUUGUAAAUCUGAAAUCUGUUCCCGUAGAGCUCCUCUGUCAGCAUGUUCCUCUUUUCCAAAAUGGCUUUGUCAUUGUAUGCAUACUCCAUGAUGGCCUCUGAAUGUCGCAACAUCUUCCUCACAUGACUUUUAAAACUUCGGAACUCUGCGAGCUUCUGGCCCACGUGUUCGAAUUGCUAUGAUGGAAGUCAAAGAGAAGAAAAAAAAAAAU